rnacentral:rRNA from 1 species
GAUAAACGCUGGCGGCGUGCAUGAGACAUGCAAGUCGAACGAGGGAUCGGGCUUGCUCGAUCCUUAGUGGCGGACGGCUGAGUAACGCGUAGGUGACCUACCCCGAAGUGGGGAAUAACUGCCCGAAAGGGUGGCUAAUACCGCAUGUGGUCGCACGUUCAUUCGUGCGAGUAAAGCCGCAAGGCGCUUCGGGAGGGGCCUGCGUCCGAUUAGCUCGUUGGUGGGGUAAUGGCUUACCAAGGCGACGAUCGGUAGGUGGUCUGAGAGGACGAUCACCCAGACUGGGACUGAGACACGGCCCAGACUCCUACGGGAGGCAGCGGUCGGGAAUUUUGCUCAAUGGGGGAAACCCUGAAGCAGCAACGCCGCGUGAGGGAUGAAGGCCUUCGGGUUGUAAACCUCUUUUGUCAGGGACGAUGAUGACGGUACCUGGCGAAUAAGCCACGGCUAACUACGUG